rnacentral:rRNA from 1 species
UACGAAGGGUGCUAGCGUUGCUCGGAAUCACUGGGCGUAAAGGGUGCGUAGGCGGGUUUUUAAGUCCGGGGUGAAAUCCUGGAGCUCAACUCCAGAACUGCCUUUGAUACUGAGGAUCUUGAGUUCGGGAGAGGUGAGUGGAACUGCGAGUGUAGAGGUGAAAUUCGUAGAUAUUCGGAAGAACACCAGUGGCGAAGGCGCCUUACUGGACACAUAUUGACGCUGAGGUGCGAAAGCGUGGGGAGCAAACAGG